UCGAGAAUCUUCCGCAAUGGGCGAAAGCCUGACGGAGCGACGCCGCGUGCAGGAUGAAGGGCUUCGGCCUGUAAACUGCUUUUGUAGAUUAGAAAGUCAUUGAUCAAUCUAAGAAUAAGGGGUUGCUAAACUCGUGCCAGCAGCAGCGGUAAUACGAGUGCCCCAAGCGUUAUCCGGAAUCAUUGGGCGUAAAGGGUGUGUAGGUUGUCUCAUUAGUCUUCUGUCAAAUUCUUCGGCUUAACCGGGGGCUAGCAGAGGAAACGGUGAGACUAGAGGAGGCGAAAGGUCUAUGGAACUCUAGGUGUAGGGGUGAAAUCCGUUGAUAUCUAGGGGAACACCAAAAGCGAAGGCAAUAGACUGGCGUCUUCCUGACACUGAAACACGAAAGCGUGGGUAGCGAAUGGGAUUAGAUACCCGGGUAGUCC
rnacentral:rRNA from 1 species